GAAAAGUUUUAUUCUUGCUUAUUUAUUUACUUUAAGAAGUUUUUAUAUGCUAGAUUUUUCUUUAAUUAAUAUAGUCUAAAGGAUUAUUGGGUAAAGUUGCAGUGGAAUGUAUUAAUUAUUAAUGUAAGUUAGAAUUAGUUAUUUUUUUUAGUAUUGAUAAAAUAUGUGCCAGCAGUCGCGGUUAUACAUGGGAUGUAAGUAAAUAUUUUUGGUUAAUAGUUAAUCUUUAAAUUGAGGAUUUAAAAGGUGGGUUUUUAGGUGAAAUUUAAAUUUUAAUUUAUUUUUAAUUAUUAUUGAUGAGGCUAUGAAAUCUAAUUAAUAAACUAGGAUUAGAUACCCUAUUAUUUAUGAAUUAAAAAAUUAUACUGGAGUAGUAAUAGUUAUGGACUUGAAACUUAAAGAAUUUGGCGGUAUCUUAGUCCAUUUAGAGGAAUCUGUCCCGUAAUCGAUAAUCCACGUUAAACCUUACUUAAGUUUAUGGUUUGUAUACCGCCGUAUGUGAAAAUCUUUAUAGAGUUAAUUUUCUAGAAAUUUUAUAGAUAAUAUUUCAGGUCAAGGUGCAAUUUAUGUUUAAGUGGUGAUGGAUUACAAUAUGAUAUUAGUUAUACGGAAUAUAAAGUUAAAUUUUUAUAUAAAGGUGGAUUUAAUAGUAAUAUUAUAGAGAUUAUUACUUUGAUUUAGGCUCUAAGAUGUGUACACAUCGCCCGUCACUCUCGCUAUAAGGUGAGAUAAGUCGUAACAAAGUAGGUGUACCGGAAGGUGUAGCUAGAAUGUUAAAAGAAAUUAAUUAUCUUGUGUAAAAGGGAAUUAAAGAUGGGGUAAAUUAAU
rnacentral:ncRNA from 1 species